GCUUCGCGUAGCUCAGCGGGUAGAGCGACCGUGAUUCAAUCGGGAGGUCCUGAGUUCGAGUCUCAGCGUGGACG